GCUUAUUUCAUUCAUUCCUUACAUGUCAAUAUAUAGAAUAGUUUUAGGAUAGCAAACGCGGAAAUAACGGAAUACAAAAUAAGGAAGAUCUAGAGAAUAUUGCUGCAAGGUUUAGGUGAGCCACUGAUAAGCUGCCACCUCAUUUCCUCCUAACUGAAUUUGUUGAUUUAUCAUGUGAUGAAAUCUUCUAGAUACUUUGGCAUGUGGACUUCUCUCUUGGGCCUUCCCAUUGCAACAACCUAACUGAAUUUGUUGAUUUAUCAUGUGAUGAAAUCUUCUAGAUACUUUGGCAUGUGGACUUCUCUCUUGGGCCUUCCCAUUGCAACAUCAUGGGCCACUUCCACUGUGUUUUCUUCAGCCCAUUU
rnacentral:lncRNA from 1 species